rnacentral:rRNA from 1 species
CCUACGGGACGCAGCAGUGAGGAAUAUUGGUCAAUGGGCGGGAGCCUGAACCAGCCAAGUCGCGUGAAGGAAGAAGGUACUUAGUAUUGUAAACUUCUUUUGUCGGGGAACAAAGGCGGAGACGCGUCUCCGGAUGAGUGUACCCGAAGAAAAAGCAUCGGCUAACUCCGUGCCAGCAGCCGCGGUAAUACGGAGGAUGCGAGCGUUAUCCGGAUUUAUUGGGUUUAAAGGGUGCGUAGGCGGGACGGUAAGUCAGCGGUAAAAAUGCGGAGCUCAACUCCGGCGAGCCGUUGAAACUGCCGUUU